CCCAGCCUUGGUCUCCUCUGCAAGACUUCUGUACUUAGUCCUUACUGUCCUCAACUUCAGGUUAAAAAACUCAAAAAGCUACCUCUUCAAAUUCAGGUUUGUACAGUUUGACAACAUCACUACAUUCCAAUGUCGCUGGUGCAAAGCGAAAAACGUUAUGGAGGUAUUCGUUUUCCAUCAUGUGAUUUGUGAAACCAUAACCUAAAUAUCUUCUUAUGUAAUUUAUCUGUUUGAACUGCGAUCAAGUGCUAAAAC
rnacentral:lncRNA from 1 species